AGAGUUUGAUCAUGGCUCAGAACGAACGCUGGCGGCGCGUCUUAAGCAUGCAAGUCGAACGGCAAGUCAGGUGCUUGCACCUGGCCUAGAGUGGCGGACUGGUGAGUAACACGUGGGUGACCUACCCUUGAGAUGGGGAUAGCCAUUAGAAAUAGUGGAUAAUACCGAAUACGCUCAUGACCCUGUGGGGAUAUGAGGAAACAGGCUACGGCCUGGCUCGAGGAUGGGCCCGCGUCCCAUUAGCUAGUUGGUGAGGUAAAAGCCCACCAAGGCGACGAUGGGUAUCCGGCCUGAGAGGGUGUACGGACACAUUGGGACUGAGAUACGGCCCAAACUCCUACGGGAGGCAGCAGCUAAGAAUAUUCCGCAAUGGACGAAAGUCUGACGGAGCGACGCCGCGUGGAUGAAGAAGGCCGAAAGGUUGUAAAGUCCUUUUGCUGAUGAAGAAUAAGCGUGGUAGGGAAUGACCGCGUGAUGACAUUAGUCGGUGAAUAAGCCCCGGCUAACUACGUGCCAGCAGCCGCGGUAACACGUAGGGGGCAAGCGUUGUUCGGAAUUAUUGGGCGUAAAGGGCAUGUAGGCGGUUUGGUAAGCCUGAUGUGAAAUCCUGCAGCUUAACUGUAGAACUGCAUUGGGUACUGCCGAACUUGAAUCACUGAGGGGAAACUAGAAUUCCAGGUGUAGGGGUGGAAUCUGUAGAUAUCUGGAAGAAUACCGGUGGCGAAGGCGGGUUUCUAGCAGAUGAUUGACGCUGAGGUGCGAAAGUGCGGGGAGCGAACAGGAUUAGAUACCCUAGUAGUCC
rnacentral:rRNA from 1 species